GAUGAACGCUAGCGAUAGGCCUAACACAUGCAAGUCGAGGGGCAGCACAUGAGUAGCAAUACGAUGGUGGCGACCGGCGCACGGGUGAGUAACACGUAUGCAACCUACCUCUAACAGGGGGAUAACCCGUUGAAAGACGGACUAAUACCCCAUAAUACAGGGGCUCCGCAUGGAGAUAUUUGUUAAAGAUUUUAUCGGUUAGAGAUGGGCAUGCGUUCCAUUAGCUAGUUGGUGAGGUAACGGCUCACCAAGGCGACGAUGGAUAGGGGAACUGAGAGGUUUAUCCCCCACACUGGAACUGAGACACGGUCCAGACUCCUACGGGAGGCAGCAGUGAGGAAUAUUGGUCAAUGGAGGCAACUCUGAACCAGCCAAGUCGCGUGAAGGAUGAAGGUCUUAUGGAUUGUAAACUUCUUUUGCAGGGGAAUAAAUAGCGGUACGUGUACCGUUUUGCAUGUACCCUGCGAAUAAGGAUCGGCUAACUCCGUG
rnacentral:rRNA from 1 species